rnacentral:rRNA from 1 species
AUUGAACGCUGGCGGCAGGCCUAACACAUGCAAGUCGAGCGGAUGAAGGUGUCUUGCUACCUGAUUCAGCGGCGGACGGGUGAGUAAUGCCUAGGAAUCUGCCUGGUAGUGGGGGACAACGUUUCGAAAGGAACGCUAAUACCGCAUACGUCCUAAGGGAGAAAGUGGGGGAUCUUCGGACCCCACGCUAUCAGAUGAGCCUAGGUACGAUUAGCUAGUUGGUGAGGUAAAGGCUCACCAAGGCGACGAUCGUUAACUGGUCUGAGAGGAUGAUCAGUCACACUGGAACUGAGACACGGUCCAGACUCCUACGGGAGGCAGCAGUGGGGAAUAUUGGACAAUGGGCGAAAGCCUGAUCCAGCCAUGCCGCGUGUGUGAAGAAGGUCUUCGGAUUGUAAAGCACUUUAAGUUGGGAGGAAGGGCAGUAAGUUAAUACCUUGCUGUUUUGACGUUACCGACAGAAUAAGCACCGGCUAACUUCGUGCCAGCCGCCGCAGUAACAC